CAACUCCUGAAGGAGCGGGCGGGCAAGCCACACCCAAAGAAGAACUAAACCAACAAUGAUACAAAUCCAAGUUGCAGUCCAGUCGGAUUCCGGGCUGCAAUCGGAACUAAGCGUCAACGGAAGCAUCCUGCAAAGGCCAACACCACGGGCAGCAUUGGGUGCGGAAACAACAUCCUACUCGAAAUCGUCAGCGACGUAGUCCGGGUCUUCCUCUGAAGCAACAAAACAAGGGUGAGUACGAAAGUACUCAAUAAGUCCAACCCCACCACGGAGGGGAUACAAGCAAGAGUAUGCAUAGGAUAUAACAAGGAUAAGUUUAAGGUUCAUUUGCAAUAAAGCUAGAUUUUUAACACAUGCAAGGGUUCAUUUUCAAAAGAGUUUUCGCAAAGCAUUUCUUUUAGUAACCAAAACAUUAAGUGGGGUUGAUCCUACACAAAGGAUCCAAAUUUUAUUGCUAUCGGACCCCCAUCUGCCAUAGCUCACGGCACAACUGCCGGACACUUCCAAAAUCCAACACACGCCACAAAAAUUAUCCAUCUCCAAGUGCUAGUUAUGUGACCAAGCCGUAACCUGUCCAAUGCCGUGGACACGGCUACUCGGAUAGGUUUUAACUCUGCAGAGGUUGUACAUUUUUCCCAUAAGUAGGUUACCGCAGCAUGAUCACCUUAGUGCCGGUGCGGAUCCUAACAAAGCCAUUACCCACCUUAGCUAAGCCUGACUAGUCAACACGGAAGUAACCAAAGGGUUAGUGACCUCCCAACGAGGUCUUAACCGGGACCUAAGUCACGAAGAUCUUACUCCUUUUCCAUGGACUCCCACUGCUCACUAGCUCUCCUGAAGACUAACAGUUUAGCUAGUGGGAUUUAUGCUAAGCCGUUGCCGCAUACAACGGUCGAGUGGUUGCACAAAGGUUGGGUUAGGCAAGAUGACACAUCAACUCGAUCCUUAAUUUGUGACAAGAUAUAUAUCUCCCAACCUUGCUCAACCACACAGGUUCGAGCCCAACUCAUUGGCAUUUCACACAAGAAACACCCAUCCAUCCCGUCUAAACAUUUCCUUCCUUUAUUUCCAAAAAAAACCAUUUUCCCUUUUUGAAACACUCACACCAUUAUUCUUUAACAAAGCACAUUGUAGUCGUAAUUGAAUUGAGUAACAAGAUCCUAAACAUUCUAGCAGUAAUUAUCAUCCAAACAGAACAAGUCAUAUUUAGAGAUAAUUAUGGGACAACAAGGAAUAAUCAUAACAAUCAAGGGGUGGCUAUCCAACCAUGUUUCAGUAGUAAAACAAUAUGCAAUUUUAUAAAACAUGCCAAUAGGUUGUGUUUGAAAAAUUAGGAUAAAUAUGCAUCAACGGGUGAGAUUGGACUUGCCUUUCUCAAAGCCUUCUGGAAGUUCCUGCUCGUGGU
rnacentral:lncRNA from 1 species